rnacentral:rRNA from 1 species
AUUGAACGCUGGCGGCAGGCUUAACGCAUGCAAGUCGAGCGGGGGAAGGUAGCUUGCUACCGGACCUAGCGGCGGACGGGUGAGUAAUGCUUAGGAAUCUGCCUAUUAGUGGGGGACAACAUCUCGAAAGGGAUGCUAAUACCGCAUACGUCCUACGGGAGAAAGCAGGGGAUCUUCGGACCUUGCGCUAAUAGAUGAGCCUAAGUCGGAUUAGCUAGUUGGUGGGGUAAAGGCCUACCAAGGCGACGAUCUGUAGCGGGUCUGAGAGGAUGAUCCGGCACACUGGGACUGAGACACGGCCCAGACUCCUACGGGAGGCAGCAGUGGGGAAUAUUGGACAAUGGGGGGAACCCUGAUCCAGCCAUGCCGCGUGUGUGAAGAAGGCCUUAUGGUUGUAAAGCACUUUAAGCGAGGAGGAGGCUACUUUAGUUAAUACCUAGAGAUAGUGGACGUUACUCGCAGAAUAAGCACCGGCUAACUCUGUGCCAGCCGCCGCCGUAA